rnacentral:rRNA from 1 species
UACGGGGGGGGCAAGCGUUGUUCGGAAUUACUGGGCGUAAAGGGCUCGUAGGCGGCCAACUAAGUCGGAUGUGAAAUCCCCAGGCUCAACCUGGGAACUGCAUCCGAUACUGGAUGGCUUGAAUCCGGGAGAGGGAUGCAGAAUUCCAGGUGUAGCGGUGAAAUGCGCAGAUAUCGGGAGGAACACCCGUAGCGAAGGCGGCACUCUGGGCCGGUACUGACGCUGAGGAGCGAAAGCGUGGGGAGCGAACAGG